UUUGCAUUUGCUAGAUUGGUUUAUAAGCAACGUACAGACUUCAGUGUACUCGACACUUUGGUUUAGUCGGCUGUUUAAAAUCAGCAUUUUAAUUAAAAUUCAGAAAAUACACUCUACAUCCGUUAUAAAUGGCGAUGUCAAAUAUUCGGCUAUUUAUAGCAGCUCUGAUGCUCGUAAAUAUGGGUAGUACACAAGAAUGGAUUGGCUCACGUGUAGUAGAUGGAAGGUGUUUUCUGUAUGUUGAUGAUGCGAAGGAAUGGGAUCAGGCGUUGG